rnacentral:rRNA from 1 species
UAAGGAAUAUUGGGCAAUGGGCGGGAGCCUGACCCAGCCAUGCCGCGUGCAGGAAGACGGCCUAUGGGUUGUAAACUGCUUUUAUACGGGAAUAAGUACUGUAUGAAUAAGCAUCGGCUAACUCCGUGCCAGCAGCCGCGGUAAUACGGAGGAUGCGAGCGUUAUCCGGAUUUAUUGGGUUUAAAGGGUGCGCAGGCUGAUAUAUAAGUCAGUGGUGAAAUUCCCCGGCUCAACCGGGGGACUGCCGUUGAUACUGUAUAUCUUGAGUGUAGUGGGCUUUGGCGGAAUGUGUCAUGUAGCGGUGAAAUGCAUAGAGAUGACACAGAACACCGAUAGCGAAGGCAGCUGACGAUACUUACACUGACGCUCAUGCACGAGAGCGU